CCCUAGUGAAUCCUAUGGACAGAGAAUCCUGGUGGACUACAGUCCAUGGGGUUGCAGAGUCAGACACUACUAAAGUGACUUAACACAGUACUGAGAGUUAACUUUGGCAGGUUGAUAAGGAGUCCAAGCCUAAGGCCCCUUUAUGGAGGAGGUAAGCAUUCUUUUUCACAUUCUUUUGCUAUAGACAAGUAGGCCUUGUAGGCAGCAGUACUUCUUGUUCAAGGACAUGCCUCUUUUUGAGCUUUGGAUGUAUGUGAUGGGGGAAAGUCUGGGUAAAAACUUCCACAGCCUUGAGCUCUGGGUUAACCUGUUCCUUCUGACUAAUCUAGUGCUGAUGUCAUCCCAGGAUGUAUGUUACAGGAAAGGGUCAGCAAAGUUCUCACAGCCUUGAGGUAUUUUUUGUCUAUUCUCAGAUGUAUAUAAGGCCCUACUUAAAUUAAUGAGGUGGGUACUCUUCUGCCCCCUUCUGAUAUCUAUGUCAGAAGCUUUUUCUGUCACUUUCACUUUAAAUAAAAUCUACACAAAGCUCUGAGUGACUGAGACUGUCUUUGGUCCCAGAGUUAAAUCUCCUUCAGAGACCACGAAUCCAGCGGCACUGUUCACUGUUUACCGAUAAGCUAUCAUCUUUGGUGCUCAUCCAGGAUCUUCAAGACAAGCUGUGUGUCUGGUCUAUAUGGAUGGAGGCACUCCUGGCAACUGAGAUUUCUGAGGACACAGAUGGGAAUUCCAGGAUCUGGUCAGAUUGGAAGUGCGAUGGGCUUCAUUUGAUAUAAAGAAGCUCUUCUCAAAUUACUGAUGGUUUAAAACAAUUUAAUGAUUUACAUCUAUGGGUAAAGUUAAAACAUUUUUCUUCUCUCUCUGCCUCGUCCCUCCAAAAUUGGAGACACUUGGGUUCUGGACAGCCUUAUCAAGGUAAAAAAGACUGUGUCCCAACAUAUACAGAAAUCUCAAAGUAUACUGGGGAGCUCUAAAAGAAAAAUCCACCCAACUGAUGUCAGGCCUAUGGCAUCUAUCAUGUUUCACUGAGUAUUACAUUCUAGUUUUAUUAACUAAGGUCUGUAUUUACUGAUUCACUUCUGAGUUAGUUCCUUGUGGUUAUGUUACAUUGCUAAGAGGUUUAAUUAAGUUAUUAAAAAGGACACUCUGAGUUUGUUUCUAAAGUUUAUCCCAGUAACCAGUCUUUAAAUAAAGAUCCGAUUAACCAGUCUUUAAAUAAAGAUCCGAUGCUCCAGGAUCUACAACCAGAAGAUUAACAGCAGGCUAUAGUCAUUUAACAAACUCAGUCAGGUGACCUGGAGAUAUCACUGGGCUAUACCUAAUUAAGUUCUUGACUUAAGGUCUUACUUGUGAUUUUACUGUUACUGCUAACUAUAUUGUUUUCUAUAUUGCCUGUUUCAAGAAGUGUCCCUUACAUUAUCAAGUAUGUGAUGGAGCCACUGAUAUAAUGAUGGUGUACAGUUCUAUAUAAAAUCCAUAAUUAUAAUGGUAUGACUCUGUAUAUGAAAAGAAGCAAGAGGGAAUAUUCUCCUGGACCAAGAGACUAGUGAGACAGGUGCAGUCCAGAGAUUUUGCUACUCACAGGGCCUAGUCCAGUAACAGCACAUUGAGUGGCCUAUCAAUGAAAUCUUCAACAGACCUGGUAAUGAGCUUUCCAAGCACUGUGGGACAAGAUGGCCAUGAAACGCCCCCAAACCAUGGUCAAACUCAUGGCCAUAAAGGGGCCCUGUGCCUGGAAACUGGCCCUUGCCAUCUGCCUCUACAAAGAUUAAAUCAUGGACACUACAGCUGCUGACCUUCGACAUCCUCUGAAAGGAGUUCAGGGUGAAAAUCAGAGAUUAGACACUUGCUUUGUGCUCUGAAAAAAAAUGGACAAAACAAGCCUUUGAAUAGUCAGAUAUUUUCAGGUAAAAAAAUUUUUGAGCCCAAAUUCUUCCAUUUUCUCAUACCUAGAAAAACACUAUCUACAAUUGUUAAUAGUGACAACUACUUUGGCUUAUAUGUUAAUACCACAAUAAGAGGCUAAAGCCUACUUGGACAAACUUAGACAACUAGCUAUGACCAUAGUGAAAGUGAAAGUCACUCAGUCGUAUCCGACUCUUUGCAACCCCAUGGACUAUACAGCCCAUGGAAUUCUCUAGGCCAGAAUACUAGAGUGGGUAACCUAUGACUAUAAGUCUCCUUAAAACAGCUGUAUACAUAGAGGUUCAGACUCAUUCUUCUAAAAAGAAAUGGUAAGAUUUAUUUUGUCUGUUAAGGUUCAGGCUGUCACUCUUUCAACUACUUCUAACUGGGUUUGUUAUACCCAUAUUCAAAAUGUAUAUGAACAUGCCAAUUGGCUCCAUUCUUAUAAAUAGGGCAGCCCAAGUGUUGACUCUAUCCAGACCAGGAUCAAAGUUACUAUCAAAUAUAACCUGAUUCUUUCAGGUUAUUCUUGGACUGCUGAUUACAGUAAUUCAUCUACUGAUGUUUGGUCUCUGCCUUUUAAUCUACUUAUCUAGUUUGUUCUUUCUAAAGGAUACAACAGCUUCCCAUACAAAGUAAUGGUGAUACAGAGAUUCUGGUCACUCUUCAAAACUGGACUUCCCUGAUGUUCCACUCUGGUCAUAGAUAUAAUCUUGGUUUACAAGCUCUCCUUGGUGAAAAACUAUCUUGACUGUAAUACUUGUAAUCAUUCUGAUUUUGCUGUUUUUUUCCUUACAUCUGUAACUGUGUAAUGAGAUUUGUUUCUAACCGUCUGAAAACAUUUAAAUUACAAAUAAUUGUUCAUGCUCCUACAA